AACGUAGGAGGCGAGCGUUAUCCGGAUUUACUGGGCGUAAAGCGCACGCAGGCGGCUCGACAAGUUGGACGUGAAAGCUCCUGGCUUAACUGGGAGAGGCCGUUCGAUACUGCCGGGCUUGAGGUUGGGAGAGGGGUGUGGAAUUCCCGGUGUAGUGGUGGAAUGCGUAGAUAUCGGGAGGAACACCAGUGGCGAAGGCGGCACCCUGGCCCACACCUGACGCUGAGGUGCGAAAGCGUGGGGAGCAAACAGG
rnacentral:rRNA from 1 species